GGGAGUGGAUGGGGCGCUGGUGGCCCUCGCGGGCUUCAAACCCGUUGCGGCGUGCUAAUCACACGCUGGGUGGGUUCGAUUCCCACACAUUCCCGCCA
rnacentral:tRNA from 1 species